AUGGAAGGAGAGAAGGAAAGACUGAGACAACAUCGGGAUGAGAAGGAGAGUAACGAAGCAGAUGAUUACGGGAAGUGUGAUGACGACAAAGACAAGGUCGAGGAAGAUGAUGAAGACUUGGUGGGGGCGGCGCUGGUCUGGCAGGAACGCUAUGGCGAGGACAAUCUAGGCCUUCCCAUCAUGCACUGGGAGGCCCUGAGCCUGCGUAUUGCUGAGCUUGAGAAGCAGGAAGAAGAGAAGAAGGAGAAGAGGUUAAAGACUGGGAUUUCUCUGGAGCAAAGCAGAGCCCCAGUCAGCUGGAAAGAGGAGCGAGGGAAGAGAUCGGAGAGCUGGGAGGAUGGAGACGAUGCCUGCAAUAGUCACGUGCUGGCACUGACCUCUCGCCUGCAGACACGGAUGAAUCUCCAGCUCUGCUUCAUCAACAACAGUGAAAGUGAAGAAGAGGAGGAGGAAGAGGAGCAGAAGAAAGGAGAUGUUAGAAAGAAAGAAAGCAGCUCAUGGAGAGGAAGUGUUCAGAUUCACAAGGAUCCUCAGCCUUCAACCAAACCAGAGAAACAAAAGUCAAGAGGCUUCAGGAACACUCUGAAGAACCUGCGAGACCGACUAAGGACGGACCACAAGUCUUUGACUGCAGCUCGGAGUGAUCCUGUAGUCCAGCGGAGACAUUUGGAGCACAGUGAUUUGCAGGCUUUCACUAUCAAGGAGCUGAACGCUCUCUGUGCAUCUCUCAGCCAGGCUAUACAAGAUCUGAGCUCAGAGCUGGUGGGUCGCCUCCAGGUCCGAGACCAGCUGAGGACGGAGCAGGACGCCAUGCUGCUGGAGGUACAGGAUCUAACAUCACUGUGA
rnacentral:lncRNA from 1 species